UGAAGGCAUCGAAACUUUUGAUGAAAAGCUUAUCUCAGAAUUAUGAUAGCGCAAAUAUGUGUUCAAAAACUUCAUCAGGCCAUUACGAAAGUAUUUGUUUGUCAGGUGAAGAUUGCAGUACAAUAUAAUAAGAUUGGCUGUUCGGGAUAAAUUUCCUUCCUAUAAAGUAAUACAGGAAGAAAAAAAAAAGAAAUGUUAUCCUACCAAAGAACACAUCAAGGCAACUAAUACGCUUGUCUGUGCAACUUUACAAUCCUUACUGGACCACACAAUAUGUCGUCUGAUUAUUGCACAGAGGACUGUAAUAGAUUCCAUUUCCGCAAAGGAUUUACACAAAUUGCGUAUGUACACAAAGUGGGGAUUCGAUGGUAGCUCAGGCCAUAGCUCAUAUAAGCAAGUAUUUCAUGGUAUUGAAGCUUCUGAUUCUGCUGUUUUCAUAACAAGUAUUGUGCCUAUUCGUAUUGUGUUGGGCGAAAAAGUUGUUUGGCAAAAUCCUGCUCCAUCUUCGACGCGUUAUUGCAGGCCUUUGAAAAUUUAAUUUAUUAAGGAAUCCUCUGAAGUUUCAAUAGCGGAGAAAAACAGAGUUACUGAAGAGAUUGGAAAUCUUAAAAAAUCUAAAACGAUAUGUGAUGGAAAAUCGAUUGAAGUUGAGUACGCUUUACUUUUUACUAUGGUGGAUGGGAAAGUUUGUAAUGCGAUAACCCAGACGACAUCCACUGAAAAGUGCUACAUUUGUAGUGCAACAUCAAAAGAUUUUAACAAUAUUGACAAAAUGGUGAAACGAGAAAUACAUACAGAUAACUUAAGCUUUGGAAAUUCUAAUGAUGGCAACACAGCGUGACUAUUCUUUAGGGAGGCAGAGGUUUCGGCCGAAAUUACAAAAUUGGAUUUAACUUUGAUUAAAAGAUUGCACAAUAUAUUAAUAACUGUAGCCAGCGAACAUGAAAUAAAUGUUAAAAAGUUCACGAAGUAUUGCCAAGACACUGCUAGGUACUUUGUGGAUAAAUACCCUUGGUAUCGUAUGCCUCCAACAAUGCAUAAGUUUGUAAUAUAUGGCCCUGAAAUAAUUUCUCACGCUUUACUACCAUUCAAGAAAAUGCGGCCGUGUGGAAACUAAUAUUGACAUAUUCAAUUCAUUUAUGCUAAGGUCUGAUCCGGUAAUAAGUUCAAAGAGAAAAUUCAAAAGAACUAAUAACCAAAAGUUACCAACUGAAGUAUUGGAAUUAUUGAUAUGUCCACUUAUUCCUAAUAACGAUGAAGAAUAUGAUGAUAUUUACGAUGAUGACGGUCAACAAAACGAAAAUGGGUCUAGUGAUGAAAGUAGCAAUAUAAAGCAAUCGCCACCAAUCACUAUAUGAACGGUUCAGAUUGAUAUGGACGCCGAUACGCCUGUAACCAACGCCAACUCUCCUUUCCGCCAGUACUGUGCCGCGCUCUAGAACUGUUUCAAUAGCAGCGCCCCGAACCAUCACGCAGCAACGGCGCCAACCGUUGCACGAAGUUCAACACGCCCAUCACCGACGCCGGCGCAUCCGGAACCGCAACGCACCAGAUGUCCGCUCUGUUGCCGUUCACAUAGGCUGCAGCACUGCUCCAUUUUCAAGGGAAUGUUACCCGUACAACGUCAGGCACAGGCACAUGGGCACUGUCUAAACUGCUUGGCCCAGUCACACGCCACGCAGUUGUGUGAAAGACCGCAUCAUACUUUGCUGCGCCGGAACUGCGAACAUCCUGUCUCGCCAACUGUCCUCCGCCGCCGUAAGACCACCCGACGAUCGCAUCUAAUCCGUGAGGCACUACCACGACAUACAGUAGCUCAUACCUGGCGACCACUCAAUGCGACAUCGACGCGCAAACAGAUAAGGCCACAACCUCACCGCACCACCGGCCUGAGCAGCGUUGUAGCUACGCUAAGGCUAGUACUCGCUUAGGGGGGCCGGGAUGUCGAAAUGAACUUCAGUCGCCCCGAAAUAACCUACUUCAAUUCGUCACAUACAGUUUGCACAUCAACUUUAAUUUUAUUAUUUUUUCAUUUUGCGACACCCAUCCCGCGCGUUUGCAGUACGAUAACAUCGUUUGGACAGCUGAUUCGGUUGUUACACCGCUUCACACAUAUGUUUAUUCGCAUAUACAAUUUUAUCAACUUAUUAUUAAUUGUCAACUUUAUGAUUAAAAUGAAUUAAUCCUUUUGAUCGAAA